AUAGGGGAUGAGCUGUGGGUAGGGGAGAAAGGCUAAACAAACUUGGAAAUAGCUGGUUCUCUCCGAAAACUAGUUAGGUAGUGCCUAAAGUAUCACCAUCGAGGGUAGAGCACUGUUAUGGCUAGGGGGUCAUUGCGACUUACCAAACCAUUGCAAACUCCGAAUACCGAUGAGUGCGAGCUUGGGAGACAGACGUCGGGUGCUAACGUCCGGCGUCAAGAGGGAAACAACCCAGACCGCCAGCUAAGGUCCCAAAGAUUGGCUAAGUGGAAAACGAAGUGGGAAGGCUAAAACAGUCAGGAUGUUGGCUUAGAAGCAGCCAUCAUUUAAAGAAAGCGUAAUAGCUCACUGAUCGAGUCGUCCUGCGCGGAAGAUGUAACGGGGCUAAGCCAGUCACCGAAGCUGCGGAUAUUGUUCUGUGAUUUAUCACAGAUAUAUAUGGUAGGAGAGCGUUCUGUAAGCCUGCGAAGGUGUCUUGUAAAGGAUGCUGGAGGUAUCAGAAGUGCGAAUGCUGACAUGAGUAGCGAUAAUGGGGGUGAAAAGCCUCCACGCCGUAAGCCCAAGGUUUCCUGUUCAACGUUCAUCGGAGCAGGGUGAGUCGGCCCCUAAGGCGAGGCAGAGAUGCGUAGCUGAUGGGAAGCAGGUUAAUAUUCCUGCACCGUCGUAUGAUGCGAUGGGGGGACGGAUCGCGGAAGGUUGUCCAACUGUUGGAAUAGUCAGUUUCUGUCUCAUAGAAGGUACUUAGGCAAAUCCGGGUACGCAAUUCAAGGGGAUGGGACGAGUGAAUUUAUUCACGAAGCAAUCGGAAGUGGUUCCAAGAAAAGCCUCUAAGCUUCAGUCAUACGAGACCGUACCGCAAACCGACACAGGUGGGCGAGAUGAGUAUUCUAAGGCGCUUGAGAGAACUCGGGAGAAGGAACUCGGCAAAUUGGUACCGUAACUUCGGGAAAAGGUACGCCCCGGUAGCUUGAUUGGUUUACUCCAUGAGGGUGAAAGGGUUGCAAUAAACUGGUGGCUGCGACUGUUUAAUAAAAACACAGCACUCUGCAAACACGAAAGUGGACGUAUAGGGUGUGACGCCUGCCCGGUGCUGGAAGAUUAAAUGAUGGGGUGCAAGCUCUUGAUUGAAGUCCCAGUAAACGGCGGCCGUAACUAUAACGGUCCUAAGGUAGCGAAAUUCCUUGUCGGGUAAGUUCCGACCUGCACGAAUGGCGUAACGAUGGCCACACUGUCUCCUCCCGAGACUCAGCGAAGUUGAAAUGUUUGUGAUGAUGCAAUCUACCCGCGGCUAGACGGAAAGACCCCAUGAACCUUUACUGUAGCUUUGCAUUGGACUUUGAACCAAUCUGUGUAGGAUAGGUGGGAGGCUUUGAAGCGGGGACGCUAGUUCUCGUGGAGCCAACCUUGAAAUACCACCCUGGUUUGUUUGAGGUUCUAA
rnacentral:rRNA from 1 species